rnacentral:rRNA from 1 species
AACGAACGCUGGCGGCAGGCCUAACACAUGCAAGUCGAGCGAGGACUUCGGUUCUAGCGGCGGACGGGGGAGUAACGCGUGGGAAUGUGCCCUUCUCUACGGAAUAGCCCGGGGAAACUGGGAGUAAUACCUUAUACGACCUUUUGGGGAAAGAUGUAUAGGACAAGGAUCAGCCCGCGUUGGGUUAGGUAGUUGGUGUGGUAAUGUCCUACCAAGCCGACGAGCCAUAGCUGGUUUGAGAGGAUGAUCAGCCACACUGGUACUGAGACACGGCCCAGACUCCUACGGGAGGCAGCAGUGGGUAAUCUUAGACAAUGGGGUCAACCCUGAUCUAGCCAUGCCGCGUGAGUGAUGAAGGCCUUAGGGUUGUAAAGCUCUUUCAGCUGGGAAGAUAAUGACGUUACCAGCAGAAGAAGCCCCGGCUAACUCCGUGCCAGCCGCCGCCGUAAGAC